rnacentral:rRNA from 1 species
AUACGUAGGUGACAAGCGUUAUCCGGAUUUACUGGGUGUAAAGGGCGUGUAGGCGGUUUAGCAAGUCAGAAGUGAAAUUCCCGGGCUUAACUUGGGCGCUGCUUCUGAAACUGCUUUACUUGAGUGCUGGAGAGGUUAUCGGAAUUCCCGGUGUAGCGGUGAAAUGCGUAGAGAUCGGGAGGAACACCAGUGGCGAAGGCGGGUAACUGGACUGCAACUGACGCUGAGGCGCGAAAGUGUGGGGAGCAAACAGGAUUAGAUACCCUGGUAGUCCACACUGUAAACGAUGAAUGCUAGGUGUAAGAGGUAUCGACCCCUUUUGUGCCGGAGUCAACACAAUAAGCAUUCCGCCUGGGGAGUACGGCCGCAAGGUUGAAACUCAAAUGAAUUGACGGGG